rnacentral:rRNA from 1 species
GAUGAACGCUAGCUACAGGCUUAACACAUGCAAGUCGAGGGGAAACGAUAUUGGAAGCUUGCUUCCGAUAGGCGUCGACCGGCGCACGGGUGAGUAACGCGUAUCCAACCUGCCCAUCACUUGGGGAUAACCUUGCGAAAGUAAGACUAAUACCCAAUGAUAUCUCUAGAAGACAUCUGAAGGAGAUUAAAGAUUCAUCGGUGAUGGAUGGGGGUGCGUCUGAUUAGCUUGUUGGCGGGGUAACGGCCCACCAAGGCGACGAUCAGUAGGGGGUCUGGGAGAGACGUCCCCCACAUUGGAACGGAGGCGCAGUCCAAACUCCUACGGGAGGCAGGAGUGAGGAAUAUUGGUCAAUGGACGAGAGUCUGAACCAGCCAAGUAGCGUGCAGGAUGACGGCCCUAUGGGUUGUAAACUGCUUUUAUAAGGGAAUAAAGUGAGUCUCGUGAGACUUUUUGCAUGUACCUUAUGAAUAAGGACCGGCUAAUUCCGUGCCAGCCGCCGCGGUAA